rnacentral:rRNA from 1 species
UCGGGGAAGGAUUGGCCCGCGUUGGAUUAGCUAGUUGGUGGGGUAAAGGCCUACCAAGGCGACGAUCCAUAGCUGGUCUGAGAGGAUGAUCAGCCACAUUGGGACUGAGACACGGCCCAAACUCCUACGGGAGGCAGCAGUGGGGAAUAUUGGACAAUGGGCGCAAGCCUGAUCCAGCCAUGCCGCGUGAGUGAUGAAGGCCUUAGGGUUGUAAAGCUCUUUCACCGGAGAAGAUAAUGACGGUAUCCGGAGAAGAAGCCCCGGCUAACUUCGUGCCAGCAGCCGCGGUAAUACGAAGGGGGCUAGCGUUGUUCGGAAUUACUGGGCGUAAAGCGCACGUAGGCGGAUAUUUAAGUCAGGGGUGAAAUCCCAGAGCUCAACUCUGGAACUGCCUUUGAUACUGGGUAU